rnacentral:rRNA from 1 species
AAACUGGGUCUAAUACCGGAUGGAACCGUCUUUAGUGUGGUGGUUGGAAAGUUUUUUUAGUGCAAGAUGAGCUCGCGGCCUAUCAGCUUGUUGGUGGGGUAAUGGCCUACCAAGGCGUCGACGGGUAGCCGGCCUGAGAGGGUGUACGGCCACAUUGGGACUGAGAUACGGCCCAGACUCCUACGGGAGGCAGCAGUGGGGAAUAUUGCACAAUGGGCGGAAGCCUGAUGCAGCGACGCCGCGUGGGGGAUGACGGCCUUCGGGUUGUAAACUCCUUUCGACAGGGACGAAGCGCAAGUGACGGUACCUGUAUAAGAAGCACCGGCUAACUACGUGCCAGCAGCCGCGGUAAUACGUAGGGUGCGAGCGUUGUCCGGAAUUACUGGGCGUAAAGAGCUCGUAGGUGGUUUGUCGCGUCGUCUGUGAAAUUCCGGGGCUUAACUCCGGGCGUGCAGGCGAUACGGGCAUAACUUGAGUGCUGUAGGGGAGACUGGAAUUCCUGGUGUAGCGGUGAAAUGCGCAGAUNCAGGAGGAACACCGAUGGCGAAGGCAGGUCUCUGGGCAGUUACUGACGCUGAAGAGCGAAAGCAUGGGUAGCGAACAGGAUUAGAUACCCUGGUAGUCCAUGCC